rnacentral:rRNA from 1 species
GAUAAACGCUGGCGGCGUGCCUAAUACAUGCAAGUCGAGCGAAUGGAUUAAGAGCUUGCUCUAAUGAAGUUAGCGGCGGACGGGUGAGUAACACGUGGGUAACCUGCCCAUAAGACUGGGAUAACUCCGGGAAACCGGGGCUAAUACCGGAUAACAUUUUGAACCGCAUGGUUCGAAUUGAAAGGCGGCUUCGGCUGUCACUUAUGGAUGGACCCGCGUCGCAUUAGCUAGUUGGUGAGGUAACGGCUCACCAAGGCAACGAUGCGUAGCCGACCUGAGAGGGUGAUCGGCCACACUGGGACUGAGACACGGCCCAGACUCCUACGGGAGGCAGCAGUAGGGAAUCUUCCGCAAUGGACGAAAGUCUGACGGAGCAACGCCGCGUGAGUGAUGAAGGCUUUCGGGUCGUAAAACUCUGUUGUUAGGGAAGAACAAGUGCUAGUUGAAUAAGCUGGCACCUUGACGGUACCUAACCAGAAAGCCACGGCUAACUACGUGCCAGCCGCCGCGGUAA